CAAGUCGACGGCAGCACGGACUUCGGUCUGGUGGCGAGUGGCGAACGGGUGAGUAAUAUAUCGGAACGUAUCCAAUAAUGGGGGAUAACUAAUCGAAAGGUUGGCUAAUACCGCAUACGCCCUACGGGGGAAAGCUAGGGACCUUCGGGCCUGGCGUUAAUGGAGCGGCCGAUAUCUGAUUAGCUAGUUGGUGGGGUAAAGGCCCACCAAGGCGACGAUCAGUAGCUGGUCUGAGAGGACGACCAGCCACACUGGAACUGAGACACGGUCCAGACUCCUACGGGAGGCAGCAGUGGGGAAUUUUGGACAAUGGGCGCAAGCCUGAUCCAGCCAUUCCGCGUGAGUGAAGAAGGCCUUCGGGUUGUAAAGCUCUUUCGCAAGGGAAGAAAACUUAGUCUCUAACAUAGACUGAGGUUGACGGUACCUUGAUAAGAAGCACCGGCUAACUACGUGCCAGCAGCCGCGGUAAUACGUAGGGUGCGAGCGUUAAUCGGAAUUACUGGGCGUAAAGCGUGCGCAGGCGGUUUUGUAAGUCAGAUGUGAAAUCCCCGAGCUCAACUUGGGAACUGCGUUUGAAACUACAAGACUAGAAUAUGUCAGAGGGGGGUAGAAUUCCACGUGUAGCAGUGAAAUGCGUAGAGAUGUGGAGGAAUACCAAUGGCGAAGGCAGCCCCCUGGGAUAAUAUUGACGCUCAUGCACGAAAGCGUGGGGAGCAAACAGGAUUAGAUACCCUGGUAGUCCACGCCCUAAACGAUGUCUACUAGUUGUUGGUGGAGUAAAAUCCAUGAGUAACGCAGCUAACGCGUGAAGUAGACCGCCUGGGGAGUACGGUCGCAAGAUUAAAACUCAAAUGAAUUGACGG
rnacentral:rRNA from 1 species